UGCUUUAUCAAUUUUUCCAUUUAUAUUAUCAUAGUUCGUAACUGAAAAUUUUUAGUGAUAACAAUAAUGUGUAAAGUAUUAAAACUAUUUUAAGUUAAAACUAUGUGUUAUACAAUCAUUUGAUUCAUGAGAUGUUAUAUUUAAUUAUUAAAUGAAGAAAUAAUGCUAUGUCUUACAACAGUGAAUUUUUGUCGUCACAGUCUCAAACAUCCAGUUCUUCUGGAAAUAUAAUAUCAAAUAAGAUACCCGGGAAGCUUAAUUGUAAAAAUGAAAAAACUAGUAAUUCUUCACCUCAAAAGUAUUUGUUUGAUUUUGAGCAAUUAAAUUGGAAUAAACAACAAUCACUUAGUGGCAUGUCCAAAAACACAUUAAUUAAAAUUGAAAAUGAACGGUUAAAUAUUAUGAAAGAUUUACAAAUUUUAAAAGCUAUUCAAAAAGAGAAAACUAAACAAGAACAUUUAAUGGACACAUUGCUACAAAUUAAAGAAGAACUAGAAAGUACAUGUAAACUUAAAUGAAUACUAAAUUAAUUUUUAUGUUCAAUUUGUUCUACAGCAAACUAAACCAUUAUUUGAAAACUUUGUUCAUAAUUCAAGUAUAAAAAAAAAUGUUCUUUAUAUUUUAUUAAAAUUAAAUUUUAAUCCAACAUUUUAUCUGUUAUAAAGAACAUUAAUGACACUUGCUACAUAGUUAUAAUUAUUUUAAUUCUGAUAAAUGCGUUGAUUAUCUAUUUAGAGAGGAAUGGUCAUAUAUUUUGUCUACUUUUUGGAAGAAAGAACUUGUAAGAAAGAUACAUGGUUAUUUUUAAUUACUGUAUUUAUUAUUGAUUAUGUAAUUGAUCAUAAAAAAUAAGAGGUAUUAGCAUAGAAAUAUUGUAAACAUUUAUUAAGUUUAAGUUUAAAAUGUUAAUAGAUUUAAAUUUUUCUGAAGUUUUAAUAAAUUAUUGACUAUUAUUAUUAAAAAA